rnacentral:rRNA from 1 species
UAGAAACCAGUGGCGAGGCGGCUGUCUGGUCUGUAACUGACGCUGAGGAAGGAAGCAUGGGUAGCGAACAGGAUUAGAUACCCUGGAGGGGCGCCAUAAACGAUGAGUGCUAAGUGUUGGAGGGUUUCCGCCCUUCAGUGCUGCAGCUAACGCAUCUCCGCACUACGGCUAGGGGGAGUACGACCGCAAGGUUGAAACUCAAAGGAAUUGACGGGGGCCCGCACAAGCGGUGGAGCAUGUGGUUUAAUUCGAUGCUACGCGAAGAACCUUACCAGGUCUUGACAUCUUCUGCCCACCUUAGAGAUUAGGCGUUCCCUUCGGGGACAGAAAUGACAGGUGGUGCAUGGUUGUCGUCAGCUCGUGUCGUGGAGAUGUUGGGUUAAGUCUUUCUAUCUAGUGCAACCCUUAUUAUUAGUUGCCAGCAUUUAGGUGGCACUCUGGUAGGACUGCCGGUGACAAACCGGAGGAAGUGGGGAUGCGCCAAAUCAUCAUGCCUUUAUUGACCUUGGCUAAA